GCGUAAUAUUUCUCAAGAAUGAAACAUAGUCAUCAGCAUGGAAACGACAAAGAUCCUUAUCCUUAGCAAGGGUGGGUUUGAAGACCUGCAUGUGCUGAAGCAAUCCAUAGUGAGCAAGAAGAGCAUGGGUCAUCCUAAUGCGGUGUGGCUUCAUUGGAUGACCCUGACCGUAAUAGUAAUUGCCAAUUUCUGGAUCAUAGAAAUAAGACACUUUUCUCUUCACCCCA
rnacentral:misc_RNA from 1 species